ACUGCCCCUAGAGGCUUUGCAUGCGUGGCUGCCAUGUCACACGCGGAUCAGUAGGUGGCGGAGAGGAGAGGCCGUGGCUGCGCUCAGUGUUCUGACCUGUGAGCAUCAGAAAAAAAUCGAGCCUGAGAUG